rnacentral:rRNA from 1 species
UACAGAGACCUCAAGCAUUAUCCGGAAUUAUUGGGCGUAAAGGGUCCGCAGGCGGCCUGGUAAGUCAUGCGUCAAAUCUUUGGGCUCAACCCAGAGACUGCGUGUGAUACUGCUAAGCUAGAGGCAGGGAGAGGUGCAUGGAAUUACUGGUGUAGCGGUAAAAUGCGUUCAUAUCAGUAAGAACACCAAAGGCGAAGGCAAUGCACUGGAACUGUCCUGACGCUCAGGGACGAAAGCGUGGGGAGCGAAA